GACCUAGAUGGAUGAAGCAGCCACAUAGAAAGAGUGCUACUCAGUUGGGCUUUAUCGUCAAUGAAGACAUAAUAAAAAGAAGAUUUGUAUUUAUCAUAGAGGAGCUUUCUAUCCAAUAUAUAGAAGCCACUAAUGAUGUUCUCUGAGGCUGGAAGAGCACAUUGGCCUGCACAGCCAAUCCCAGAAAUGAUGGGUUCCUGCUGGAAAUGAUGACCCGUGUGCUGCACGCACGACAAGCCUUUGAGACAGAUGAUCUAGGCAUCUUCUGCUCCUGCUGAUGGGCUGCCACUUCUGGGAGCCAGGCUUUGGCCUUCAGUCCCCAGACAGACACUGAAGGGGGAUGCAGAGAGAAAGAGAGAGGAAGAACAAGCUGACCACCCAAAAUUAAUAGGUCUCAUGAAAUGGAGUGCCUACAGGGCACAGGUGUCAAAUUGGGAUGGGAUGGGGAGAGGGAAAGACAGAAGGAGGAAGGAGGAAGGUGGUGUGGAAGGGAGGAAGAAAGAGAAUAUGAGAGUUCAAGGGACAUGGAAGAUUAAUUGGAAGAGCAUACAUACUAAACCCAAAGCAAAUAUCCAAAUGUCACCAUGAGUAAUACAAGGGACUGAGGAAGAAAUUCCCUUGCGUGAGGCCGCACAAAGCUUGGCACUGGAGCUGCUGUGCCACCCCUCACACCUGGCCACUGCCGUCAACUCCCAGGGGGAGCAUUCUGGUCACCUGAGCUCCUGACUCAGAGUCUAACAAAGGCUCUUAGCUUUCACACCAUCCUGUAUUUGGGAGAUUGCCAUUUCUUUCCUUCAUUGCCCAGGAUGAGCAAGCUGCUGGCAUUUCUAUGUCAGCCACAGAAGCUGUGAUGAGGAGAGCAAGGAAAUGCAUGGAAAAGGACAGGUGAUUCCUGCACAGCUCCCUCCGGAGAUCUGCAGGCAGCAUUUCCCCCAGGAAUGUUCCUCUCUAGAACUCCAUCAUGUGAGCAUCACUUGCCUGUCCACUGGGUCAUGAGCCUUUCUUCUGCAGGCUUAGAUGCUUCUCGAAGAACCCCCUCUCUCCAGCCUGGCUCUCACGGUCCUUUUCCUGGGCUUCCAGAGCAACCCAGAUCUCUCUCUCCAUCAAAGGGCUGCCCACACUGCUUUGUGCUGACUCUAUGGGUCUCCUUCUUGGGCCUGAACCACUAGCCAGGAUGUAAGGAGAUGAAAGCCAGCAGAGUGGGUCACUACUGCAGGAAGCUGGGGAAGGUCAAAGGGCUUGCCUGGUGCAGAUACAGUCAGCUGUGUCUUGAAGGAAGGGUAGACUCCAGAUAAAGAGAACAUGGUGGCCAGCAUGUGACACAGAGAUGAACAGCAUGGAGAAAAAAUGAUGAUCUCUGGGAGCCUGAUGAAUAUCAGUAUGGCUGGAAUGGAAGUGCAGAGACAUGGCAGCCGGAUUGCAAAUGGCAACCUGAAGAGUUUUGACUUUAUCCUGUACAUAACAGUCCUCAAACCAGUGGGGGGGGGGGGUCCUCUAAAACCACUCUGAAGAGCACUGUCCACUACUCACCACUAGCCAUACGUGGCUAAAUACAUUUUAGUCUAACGUAAUUUAAAUUUAAAACAAACUAAAAAUGCACUACCUCAAUCACACGCAGCACAUUUUAAGGGCUCAGUAGCUACACGUGGGUAUGGGGCCAUGAGCCCAUGGUUUCUCCAUAUAGAACAGCACAAAGAGGAGUCUGGGCAGGGAGGGAUAAAGCAUAAGGAAGGUAAAAAAGUUAGAGGCCAGAGAUGUCAGGAAAUUGUCACACAGCUGACAGUGGAAGAGCUGGACUUGAAGCCUGAAUUUUGUCACUUUUCACCAAAAUGAUCUCUAGAUUUUUGUCUUUUCUCAACUUCCUGGAGCCAGUUGGCAAGGAAUCUCAUUUAUGGCCAGAUCCUAGCCCAGCGCUGCAUGAGAGGGGAUUCCAUGGAUGAUCCGGGGCUACACUGAGAUAACAUGGGUAUGAAUCCCAUUCUUUGUUCGGUCACUGCAGAACUCGGUGAAUUGCAUCAUCCCCUUCAUGCCUCAAUCUCCUCACUGCUUAGUGGAGAGGAUGCAUUAAUUUACAUCUGCAAACAUAAUAU
rnacentral:lncRNA from 1 species